UACGUAGGGGGCAAGCGUUGUCCGGAAUCGUUGGGCGUAAAGCGCGUGUAGGCGGCUCGAUAAGUCUGCUGUGAAAGUUCAGGGCUCAACCCUGAAAUGCCGGUGGAAACUGUCGAGCUAGAGUACGGAAGAGGUGAGUGGAAUUCCUGGUGUAGCGGUGAAAUGCGCAGAUAUCAGGAGGAACACCAAUGGCGAAGGCAGCUCACUGGGACGUUACUGACGCUGAGACGCGAAAGCGUGGGGAGCAAACAGG
rnacentral:rRNA from 1 species